CCCUGAGCCCCUCCCUGACCCCGCCAUCGCCAUGGACGCCGCCUCUGUUCCUCUUGAGGUUAGAGCCAUUGCGCGUUUCCCCCUCGUUUCUUCCACCACCAGCGCACCACCACACCCCCGGCGAUCAUCCCAGACCCGCCGCCCAUCCAUUUCCCCCACCGGAGCCACCCAAUCACCAAGCCCCGCGUCCUCUGUCCCCGUGAGCCGCCAUCGCCCCGCUGCUUCCCGACGCCCGUGCUUGGCCUGGACGGAAGCGGCGCACCCCCAGGAGCUCGCCGGUGGUCUCCACUUGGCCGGAGAUCGCCGGACUGGCCCGCUCCGACGCCGGCAGCGCCCCUGCCUCUGCUACCCCUCUGCUUUAGUUGGGCUAGAGAGAGGAGGAAGAUGACGACUCGCCAGGCCCCCACCUGCGCGCGGCCCCCACCGGUCAGCCUCACCACGCGUUGACCCCUCCCUUGCCACGUGGUAAGUGGAAGCGUAUUCCUCUGAAUACGUCUUCCCUUGUCCGAAAACGUACUCAUGCAUUGCUUCAGACAGAAAUGUGUUUUCUCUUCUAGAAGGUGUAUUACUCUCUAUUGCGGUCAACAAUGCGCUUUCUCAGUUCCGAAACCGUAUUUUCGGAAAUACGUUUUCUGUUUUUCAGCCCAGGGACCCAUUUGGUGAUAAAUUCUUCACAGAUAGGUCCCUGAUCUUCAUCACUUCAUAACUCCGCAACCGUAACUCCGAUUGAGCCCCCUCCGAGAGAGAACUGUUUCCGGCAAAUCUUUCCGCGAUCAUUCCGCACUUCUUCCCGAAGUAUUUGUCAACCCCCAGGCAAGCCAACCUCUUAUCAUGAGCCCCGAACUUGCAUGUUGACUUUGCUUGCACCUCGUGUGUGUGUGUUUAGUUGCAUUAGUUUCUUGGUUGUUCCGUCUAUUGUUAUUUCAGUCGUGCUAUAUGUUUUUGUUAUGUGCCAUGCAUGCUUGUGUUCUCAUGAAAUAAAUUGACAUGCUAGCUAGAUGUUGUUACUGAUAA